rnacentral:rRNA from 1 species
CGGUAAUACGUAGGGUGCGAGCGCCUUUCAAGGUUACUGGGCGUAAAGCGUGCGCAGGCGGAUUGUUAAGCAAGACGUGAAAUCCCCGGGCUUAACCUGGGAAUAAUGUUUUGAACUGGCAGUCUAGAGUGUGUCAGAGGGGGGUGGAAUUCCACGUGUAGCAGUAGGGUGCGCGAAGAUGUGGAGGAACACCGAUGGCGAAGGCAGCCCCCUGGGAUAACACUGACGCUCAUGUACGAAAGCGUGGGUAGCAAACAGGAUUAGAUACCCUGGUAGUCCACGCCCUAAACGAUGUCAACUGGUUGUUACUAAGAUGAAAUCCCUUAGUAACGAAGCUAACGCGUGAAGUUGACCGCCUGGGGAGUACGGUCGCAAGAUUAAA